UAAAUCACUCAAGCUAAUCCAGUCCACCCGUUAAGGUGAUUUCUUCCUUCUUAGAAUGAAGGCAAUCCACUAAUCAGGUAUGUGUUACAACUGCACUUGAAACCUACAAGUGACUAACAAUACACUGACUUAGCUCACACUAAGAUUCACUCUCUUAGUCUUCUCUAGGAUUCGAUCAACCUUGAUCUCCCAAAGGCAAACUAUACAACUGUAUAUGAAGUUCUUGUUUACAAAGAAGGUGCUUCUAAAAAGCUUAUAGUAAACACAAUGAAAUUCAAGAUGAAAGAAAGCUUAGAAGGAUUUGAAUAUUUCUUGCGCGUGUGUGAAUGCUUCUAGCCGCUUCUUUCAAUCUUCAGCCUCUAUUUAUACUCCAAAGAUUAGGGUUGAACGUUGCAUGGAAAUGCUACCGUUGGAGGGCAGUUCUGGAAAUUCCAGCUUCUGCUGUGGCUGAGGAUGUUAGGUAGGUCGUCAGGAUAGUACACUUUGCUUUUGUACUUUGGAUAGUGACUUGACCUUAACCUCGUAGACUUCUGAUCAGAGGAGCGCUUCGUGUUGGUACUUGUGAAGCUGAUUGAUCAAAGUCAAAGGGAAGCUUGGAUCCUCUGACCGUUGUACCUUCUGAUCUUCACUUCAGAGGAUCAGUACAUGGUCUUCAGAGCCAGUUGCUUCUGGACUUCAGAGUCUUCACUUUUCAGAGUCUGGAUCGUCAGAGUCUUCUUCACCAUCAGAGCUUCUGAGCCUUCAGAGUCUCUUGGUUGUCAGAUCUUCUGGAUCAUCAGAUCUUCAAGUGAGCUGAGUCCUUAUCAGAGCUUGAUUUACUUCAGAUCUUCUGAAGCUUUUCCACUGUUCAGACUGAACAUGGACAAUGUGAAAGCGAUGCUUGGGUCACUCUUUAAGCACAGUGCUUCUGAUUUGUGUGAGAUGAAAUAGAGGUCAGAGCCUGUAAAUAACACACUCA
rnacentral:lncRNA from 1 species